rnacentral:rRNA from 1 species
GACGAACGCUGGCGGCGUGCUUAACACAUGCAAGUCGAACGGAAAGGCCCUGCUUUUGUGGGGUGCUCGAGUGGCGAACGGGUGAGUAACACGUGAGUAACCUGCCCUUGACUUUGGGAUAACUUCAGGAAACUGGGUCUAAUACCGGAUAGGAGCUCCUGCUGCAUGGUGUGGGUUGGAAAGUUUCGGCGGUUGGGGAUGGACUCGCGGCUUAUCCGCUUGUUGGUUGGGUAGUGGCUUACCAAGGCUUUGACGGGUAGCCGGCCUGAGAGGGUGACCGGCCACAUUGGGACUGAGAUACGGCCCAGACUCCUACGGGAGGCAGAAGUGGGGAAUAUUGCACAAUGGGCGGAAGCCUGAUGCAGCAACGCCGCGUGCGGGAUGACGGCCUUCGGGUUGUAAACCGCUUUCGCCUGUGACGAAGCGUGAGUGACGGUAAUGGGUAAAGAAGCACCGGCUAACUACGUG